rnacentral:rRNA from 1 species
CUUUCGGGGAUUCAUAAUAAACUGGCGAAUCGCAUUUAGCGAUGGACCAUUCAAGUUUCUGACCCAUCAGCUUGACGGUAGGGUAUUGGACUACCGAGGCAGCAACGGGUAGCGGGGAAUUAGGGUUCGAUUCCGGAGAGGGAGCCUGAGAGACGGGUACCACAUCUGAUGAAGGCAGCAGGCGCGCAAAUUACCCAAUCCGGACACAGGGAGGGAGUGACCAGAAAUAACAAUACAGGGCUAAUGUCUUGUAAUUGGAAUGAUGGUGACCCGAACCCUCACCGGAGUAGCAAUUGGAGGGCAAGUCGGGGGCCAACAUCCGCGGGAAGUCCAGCUCCAUAGGGUAUAUAAAACUUGUUGCAGUUAAGGAGCUCGGAGGUGAAUUUUAGCGUGUUCGAGUUUGCCAUUGGUUUGGCUUUUUCUA